rfam:Heligmosomoides polygyrus genome assembly, scaffold: HPBE_contig0000880
GCGCCGGUGGUGUAAGGCGAACAUCGCUGAUCGGGAAACAGAAGAUGCGGGUUCGAGUCCCGCCUGGCGCA